rnacentral:lncRNA from 1 species
AUGGUGUACGUUCGAGGGGUACGAGAAAAUUACAAAGUAAACAAAAAUCAGUAUCUAAGUAAAGGGGGAGUCAGGAGUAUUGCUACUACAGAUCUCUUAGUAUUUGUCUUGAGAAGGAGAUAUGGAGUGGAGGUUGGUUAUAUAGUGCAUGAUCGCAUGGGUAUGAUUCAUCUGCGGUCACCGAAUUUUUAGCAAAAAUUUUAUUGCGUCACUAAACUUUGAUUUGUUUCAAUAGAGUUACUAAACUUCAAUUUAGAUUUUAAUUGAGUAUUAAACUUAAAUUUAAUUUCAAGUGUGGCCUCUUUCAAAUUGAUGAAAAUUGCUUAAUUUGAAGUAUUGGAUCUUUUAUGCAAUUGCUGUGCGUCCGUGUAUGAAAUUUACCAUGAGAGGAGACAAAAAGUGAUGGAUAUUUCUACAUCCACGUAAUUUGAUAUGGCC